rnacentral:rRNA from 1 species
AUUGAACGCUGGCGGCAGGCUUAACACAUGCAAGUCGAGCGGGGUGAUGGUGCUUGCACUAUCACUUAGCGGCGGACGGGUGAGUAAUGCUUAGGAAUCUGCCUAUUAGUGGGGGACAACAUCUCGAAAGGGAUGCUAAUACCGCAUACGUCCUACGGGAGAAAGCAGGGGAUCACUUGUGACCUUGCGCUAAUAGAUGAGCCUAAGUCGGAUUAGCUAGUUGGUGGGGUAAAGUCCUACCAAGGCGACGAUCUGUAGCGGGUCUGAGAGGAUGAUCCGCCACACUGGGACUGAGACUCGGCCCAGACUCCUACGGGAGGCAGCAGUGGGGAAUAUUGGACAAUGGGGGGAACCCUGAUCCAGCCAUGCCGCGUGUGUGAAGAAGGCCUUAUGGUUGUAAAGCACUUUAAGCGAGGAGGAGGCUCUUUUGGUUAAUACCCAAGAUGAGUGGACGUUACUCGCAGAAUAAGCACCGGCUAACUCUGUGCCAGCCGCCGCGGUAA